rnacentral:rRNA from 1 species
CCUACGGGAGGCUGCAGUGGGGAAUAUUGGACAAUGGGCGAAAGCCUGAUCCAGCCAUGCCGCGUGUGUGAAGAAGGCCUUCGGGUUGUAAAGCACUUUCAGUGGGGAAGAAAGCCUUGGGGCUAAUACCCUCGAGGAAGGACAUCACCCACAGAAGAAGCACCGGCUAACUCCGUGCCAGCAGCCGCGGUAAUACGGAGGGUGCGAGCGUUAAUCGGAAUUACUGGGCGUAAAGCGCGCGUAGGCGGUCUGAUAAGCCGGUUGUGAAAGCCCCGGGCUCAACCUGGGAACGGCAUCCGGAACUGUCAGGCUAGAGUGCAGGAGAGGAAGGUAGAAUUCCCGGUGUAGCGGUGAAAUGCGUAGAGAUCGGGAGGAAUACCAGUGGCGAAGGCGGCCUUCUGGACUGACACUGACGCUGAGGUGCGAAAGCGUGGGUAGCAAACAGGAUUAGAUACCCGGGUGUC